UCCGGUUGAUCCUGCCAGAGGUUACUGCUAUCGAGGUUCGACUAAGCCAUGCGAGUCGAAUGUAGCAAUACAUGGCGAACUGCUCAGUAACACGUGGACAACCUGCCCUUAGGUUGGGUAUAAACCCGGGAAACUGGGUAUAAUACCCGAUAGGUCUCGAUUGCUGGAAUGCAUCGAGAUUUAAAGCUCCGGCGCCUAAGGAUGGGUCUGCGGCCUAUCAGGUAGUAGUGGGUGUAGCGUACCUACUAGCCUACGACGGGUACGGGUUGUGAGAGCAAGAGCCCGGAGAUGGAUUCUGAGACACGAAUCCAGGCCCUACGGGGUGCAGCAGGCGCGAAAACUUUACAAUGCUGGCAACAGCGAUAAGGGAACCUCGAGUGCCAGGUUACAAAUCUGGCUGUCGAGAUGCCUAAAAAGCAUUUCAUAGCAAGGGCCGGGCAAGACCGGUGCCAGCCGCCGCGGUAACACCGGCGGCUCGAGUGGUAACCGUUAUUAUUGGGUCUAAAGGGUCUGUAGCCGGCCGGAUAAGUCUCUUGAGAAAUCUGGCAGCUUAACUGUCAGGCUUUCAGGAGAUACUGUCUGGCUCGAGGCCGGGAGAGGUGAGAGGUACUUCA
rnacentral:rRNA from 1 species